ensembl:lncRNA
UGGGUGGGUGCCCCCGAGCCAGGUCCAGCUAGCCCGUGUCCCCAGGCACCCACAGAAAUGGCAAGGGUGCUGUCUGAUUGAGCCCCGAGUGCCUGCCUCGGAUGCGGUGGCAGACGGUGGCAACCACAGUGGAGACCUACAUGGUGACAGACCACGAUGCAGAGACCGGCCUCGAAGACGCCACAUGACGAAAGGAGCUGUGUGUAUGGGGUUCCACUUGCAUAAAGUUCAAAACCAGACAGGACAACCUGGUCCGUUAGGAAUGAGGACUGUGGCUGCCCUGGGGUGGGGGUGGGGGUGGCUGGAAAGGGCCCGGGACUGCUUUUCUCAUGGGAGGUGGGACCAGGACUCUGUCCUGUGGGAGGCCGGCUGACCGCAUCCAGGCAGUCUGUGCAGGUUUCUGUGGGGGGUACGCCUGCUAGGCGCCAGCCUCCAUGGUUCUAAGGAGUUUCUGCACUGAGAUACACUGACAGAAGGAAGUCAUCACUGUUUGAAUCCCAUUCUAGGGAGGGGGAAACUGAGGCCUGCAGAGAUUGAGCUGCAGUCGGGAUGCAACCCCGCCAAGCCUCACUGCCCACCACCGUGCCCAGACCAGUGAAGGCAAGCACAGGGGGAUGGCAGGGAGCCUGGGGGGGGGGGGGCUCUGGAACUGGGGCUGAGGGAAGGGACCAUGAGGGACGAUGGCCCUCGGGGCUCAGGCAGUAGCAGCUGCCGGGACGGCCGCAACACCACACACUGACCCCCUGAGAUAGAAACCACGUAGACUGUGUACAAACCCCAAAGCAAAGUCAUUUCCUUGCGUCUGUUCUGUAAUUGCUUUGUUAACAUGCAGGUGCAGGUCAUGCUUUGCAGUUUGGGGUGUUUGGAGUCUGUACCAGUCAGAUGGGCUGGGAGACAAACAUCCCCAAACAGCAGAGGCUAAAAGCAGCAGGUUUUGUGUUUGUUUCUUACUCGCUCACCUCAUGUGUGUGUCCAUGGUCUGAGGACACAGCGCUGAGAGGGACUCACUUUGAAGCCACACGGACAUCUCACAUCUUGGAGGAUGCGAGCCAUCCACCUGAACAGACAGGGAAACCGAGGCACAGAGUGGCAGUCACACGGCAGGUGAGCACCCCGGGCAGGGCGGUCCCGGCCUCACGCCUCAUGGGAUGUUCCACCAGGACGGCAGGGGGUUCCUGGAUGGCAGACUGGGUUAGGCCUCCGAGGCACGGGCCGCGGAGGUCCCGGGAGGAGACCAGGCAGGGGAUAGGCCCUGCAUUCUUCUUCCACCUACGGCCAGGGUCUCCAGGCCUCCCCAAAGAUCUGAGCGUCGCCAACGGGCCAACAGCACAUAUAUAUAUCGUACUGGCUCAGCCAGCAGGAGUUCCCCUGUCUCCUGCCGGCCCAGACGAUGUCACGCACGGACCUGCCUGGCUGUGCUCUCACCGGGACCUCGAGUGGCCCCAAGCGGGGAGGCACGUCUUGACUGCAGGUACAUCAUCCACUUUCUGCCCAGCUCUGUGCCUCAGUGGUCCUGUCCUACAGGCAUGCACACGCACACACGCACAUGCACACGCACACACACGCACACACCACGUGCAGGGCUACAGGCGGGUGAGGAGCAUGCCGAGCACCCCCCCCCCAAUGGACACGUCUUCUUUGUCCCCACUGAGCCAAGGAGGAGGUGUGGCUGGGUCAGCCCACCUGGGGGUGACCCAGACCCCUCUUGAGAGCGUUCUGUGGGGGGCGCGGGCGGGAGCCACAGGCCAGCUGCUGCUGCCGGAAGCCCAUAAAUAUUUACACUGUCUCCUGCCAGCGAGUCGAGACGCUUCCAAAGCCCUUCUCCCAGGAUGUUAGCAUGAAAACAGCGCUGUCGGGCUUCAUCCCGUGACUAACAUUCCUUGUUUUCUCUUGCUGUUUUUGAUAACAUUUUAACUCUUCCAUUUCAUGAAAAAUGAAGCUGCUUGGUCCUCACACCACAGCGCUCGGCGUGUACACUGCUCCUUUCUUACCGUCACCCACAGCACAGAGCCUCUGUGCUGUGACAGCGCUGGUGACAGCGCCCCGGGCGGCAGCGCCCUCCCGAGAUCCGGAAGCCCAGCAGCACCUGCCCGAGGGCCAGGGCCACCUGCCACCCUCGCCCGGGGCUGGACCCCCUCAGCGGCCCCGCUUCCCUGGGACGUCUGUCCCGCCCUCUGCAGACCGACGCCAGCGGGGCUUAGAAAGCCGGGAGGCCUGCCUUCUGCUGUGGUCCUUGUAUGGAACUCACUUUACUUUUUUGUCUUCUUUUUUUUUUAUCAGCAAUAUGUAUUUAUUGAAAUAAAAAUGUUUAUAUAUAUAAAGG